rnacentral:snoRNA from 1 species
CUGCUGUGCAGUAGUUACAAAGAGCAGCUUCCUUGGUAGUGUGUGCAGUCUGUUACCUUAGGUCUCCUAAGGGACCUUGGACACAAUU